rnacentral:tRNA from 1 species
GUGGGCGUAGCUCAGUUGGUAGAGCCCCGGAUUGUGAUUCCGGUCGUCGUCGGUUCGAGUCCGAUCGUCCACCCCA